rnacentral:rRNA from 1 species
GACGUAGGGCGCGAGCGUUGUCCGGAUUUAUUGGGCGUAAAGAGCUCGUAGGCGGCUUGUUGCGUCGACCGUGAAAACCCGUGGCUUAACUGCGGGCUUGCGGUCGAUACGGGCGGGCUGGAGUUCGGUAGGGGAGACUGGAAUUCCUGGUGUAGCGGUGAAAUGCGCAGAUAUCAGGAGGAACACCGGUGGCGAAGGCGGGUCUCUGGACAGUUCCUGACGCUGAGGCGCGAAAGCGUGGGGAGCAAACAGG